CAGUAGCCGCGGGAAUACAGAGGGUGCAAGCGUUAAUCGGAAUUACUGGGCGUAAAGCGCGCGUAGGUGGUUUGUUAAGUUGGAUGUGAAAUCCCCGGGCUCAACCUGGGAACUGCAUCCAAAACUGGCAAGCUAGAGUAUGGUAGAGGGUGGUGGAAUUUCCUGUGUAGCGGUGAAAUGCGUAGAUAUAGGAAGGAACACCAGUGGCGAAGGCGACCACCUGGACUGAUACUGACACUGAGGUGCGAAAGCGUGGGGAGCAAACAGGAUUAGAUACCCCGGUAGUCCCUGUCUCUUAUAU
rnacentral:rRNA from 1 species